rnacentral:lncRNA from 1 species
UUAUACUAUGAUAGCAUAUUUUCUAAAGGAAAAUGCACAAACAAAAAUUACAAGCCAUGCAAGUAUAAGAAUCUUAUUACAAUUAACCUUGAAAUCUAGGAUUUUCUAUUUAUGUCCAUGAAGUAUCAAAUAACACAGAAAUUUCUAUCAAUUGCAAUAUUUUCUUAGUUAGAAGAUAAAGAUGCAAAUGAUUCAUCACCUCGCACUCUCUCUCAUGAAAAAUAUUCACAUUCAAGUUACAUAUUCACAUAUAGAAUCUCUG